AUUUCUUUCACCCAUAGCGAUUUAUGUGCUGUUUUCCUGUGAUCGAAUAUAUUACGGACACGUUCAAGUUUUCCACCGCUUGUGCGUGUUGUGUUCCAGCCCAAGUGCGGCAUAGCGUUUUCAUUGGCAUCGUUUGUGCAACAAGUUCAAGCUUUCCAUCGCUUGUUUGUAUUGGGUUCCAGCACAAGUGCGGCAUAGCGUUUUCUUUGGCAUCGUUCGUUCCACACGUUCAAGUAAGUUGGGGCUUUGUGGAUGCACUUUUGAGUUUUUGGAAAAAAACUCGAAAUGCGCUUUUAUUGCGAUUUUUUAUCGCUGUGUAUGUUGUGUUCCGGCCCAAAUGCGGCAUAGCGUUUUUAUAGGCAUCGUUCGUUCAACACGUUCAGGUUUUCCAUCGCUUGUGUGUGUUGUGUUCCAACCCAAGUGCGGCAAAGCAUUUUCAUUGGCAUCGUUCGUCCAAUACGUUCAAGUAAGAGGGGACUGGAGUUUUACUAACGCAUUUUCUGUUUUGUUUGUAAGUACUAUAGACUGGAAACGAUUUGGAUUUUUGUUAACCGACUUCAAAACAAGAAGGAGGUUAUCGCUUCGUCGGGAUAUUUUGUAUUUUUUUCUAUAUUUUUAACCGGGUAACUUUUUAAAAAUAUUUAUCUAUUAAUAGCAAAAUAUGGAA